rnacentral:lncRNA from 1 species
AGACCUUCAUCCUCUCAAAGUUCUAUUGUUGUUGAUUAUUGUUGGUGUUGUUGUUGUAGUUAUUUGUUCUUUGUUGUGGUUGUUGUUGAUGUUGUUCUUGAACUGGAACUGAUUGGUUGUUGUAAAAUACUAGAAUAAUGGAUUAUACCUGAUGAUGAUGUUGACGUGGUUGUGGACUUCUUCUAACAUGAGGCCUCCUCUGCCUCCCAACUGG